ACACGAUACAAUCCUAAAUUUCCAAUCAUCAGCCGCUGUGAACCGCCGGCGUGACACGCGAUUCCAAUUCCAGGGAUCGGGAUAUCAUAUCCCCAAAUUGUUGGAACCCUAAUUUGAAAAUCUCCCAUCUUUGGCUGCUGCGAUUAGGAAUCUUCUUCGUUUCUUCAAUUUUUCUUCUCUAAUGUCAGUCGGCACGAAUCGGUGCAUAUAAACACUAUAUGGCGAGAAUCCUUUCAACGUUUACAGAAGCCUUGCAGUCCCAGGUCGUUUUCCAUUUCCCAUGGCCACCGACGCUUCCCCAAAAUUGCAGGAUCCAGUCCCCCAGACACACGAUUUCGACCAAAGAACCGCGACUGCGGAGCACGAUGGGCUUCAAUUUUGGCAGUUCAUGGUCGCUGGCUCCAUCGCCGGCAUGGUGGAGCAUAUGGGAAUGUUCCCCGUAGACACUGUCAAAACGCGGAUGCAAGCCCUGGGAACUUGCCCGAUCAAAUCGGCCAGCGUGAAGCUAGCGCUUCAGUCAAUUCUGAAAUCGGACGGCCCCAAAGGCUUCUACCGCGGGAUUGGCGCUAUGGGAUUGGGCGCUGGCCCCGCGCAUGCCGUGUAUUUCUCCGUUUAUGAGAUUUGCAAGAAGAGCUUCUCCCGAGGGAAUCCAGAUAAUCACGCAGCUCAUGCUGUUUCUGGUGUUUGCGCCACGGUUGCGAGUGACGCUGUGCUAACCCCCAUGGACAUGGUGAAGCAGAGAUUGCAGUUGGGGAGUAGUCCGUACAAAGGAUUGUGGCAGUGCGUGCAGACUGUUUUCAGAGAGGAAGGUAUUCGGGCGUUUUACGCUUCCUACUUAACGACAAUCCUCAUGAACGCGCCGUACACAGCUGUGCAUUUCUCAACCUAUGAAUCCACGAAGAGGGGACUGACGAAAGUUUCCCCGGACAGUGCGGAUGAAGAGACGCUAAUGGUUCAUGCUACCGCUGGAGCAGUAGCUGGGGCCUCCGCUGCUGCCUUGACCACUCCUCUUGAUGUGGUGAAGACUCAAUUACAAUGCCAGGGUGUCUGUGGAUGCGAUAGAUUUGCCAAUGGUUCAAUUAAGGAUGUUGUUCGAACAAUCAUAACGAAAGAUGGUUACAGAGGCCUUAUGAGGGGUUGGAUGCCCAGAAUGCUCUUCCAUGCUCCUGCUGCUGCAAUUUGCUGGUCCACUUAUGAAGCUGCCAAAACCUUCUUCCAAGAAUUAAACAACGGUCGAAGCUCAGGUACAAGCAGGUAGUUAAUGGAACUCAAUUCUCGAGCCAGAGAUGUCUCAGCCCUUGAUCUACAAGGGUUUUGUUUCAUGGUAUCAGAGCGGACUUUGACGGUGGUGGCGAACGAAGCGAAUCGGGGGAGGAGCAUGCAAGUGGCACGUCAAUGAUGAGUAUGUCCUAUGGGAACUAGAUAUUCCAUAGUGGAAUUCUGGAAUGCUCCCAGCGUGGGGGAGUACACUCGCUCGAUAUUGCUGGACACAUCAAAGAAGAGCAUGUCCUAAUGUAAAUGGACAUUCUAAGAGGAGAGUGCUUCCAAGGUGGGGGAGUACGCUCGAUGUUGCCGAAGGACCAAGGUGACCGAGUUUUGUUCGUGAGGGAAAAACUACGUUAAGGACGAUCUUCAGGUGAAGAAUGCACAAGCCACAAAAAAAGAUAUCC